rnacentral:rRNA from 1 species
AAGCAUGGGUAGCGAACAGGAGAGGUGCUUUAGUCCAUGCCGUAAACGAUGAUUACUAAGUGUGGAGGGGUUCCGCCCUUCAGUGCUGCAGCUAACGCAUUAAGUAAUCCGCCUGGGGAGUACGACCGCAAGGUUGAAACUCAAAAGAAUUGACGGGGGCCCGCACAAGCGGUGGAGCAUGUGGUUUAAUUCGAAGCUACGCGAAGAACCUUACCAGGUCUUGACAUCUUCUGACAGUCUAAGAGAUUAGAGGUUCCCUUCGGGGACAGAAUGACAGGUGGUGCAUGGUUGUCGUCAGCUCGUGUCGUGAGAUGUUGGGUUAAGUCCCGCAACGAGCGCAACCCUUAUUACUAGUUGCCAGCAUUAAGUUGGGCACUCUAGUGAGACGCCGGUGACAAACCGGAGGAAGGUGGGGACGACGUUUAUUUCAUCAUGCCCCUUAUGACCUGGGCUACACACGUGCUACAAUGGAUGGUACAACGAGUCGCGAGACCGCGAGGUUAAGCUAAUCUCUUAAAACCAUUCUCAGUUCGGACUGUAGGCUGCAACUCGCCUACACGAAGUCGGAAUCGCUAGUAAUCGCGGAUCAGCAUGCCGCGGUGAAUACGUUCCCGGGCCUUGUACACACCGCCCGUCACACCAUGAGAGUUUGUAACACCCAAAGCCGGUGGGGUAACCUUUUAGGAGCUAGCCGUCUAAGGUGGGACAGAUGAUUAGGGUGAAGUCGUAACAAGGUAACCAUAG